rnacentral:lncRNA from 1 species
AUGAACCUCUCCAGAAAUAAGUCUCUCACUGUUGCCAUCUGCUAUCAAUCCCCCUCCACUCCCAGCUGUGCCCUGGACACCCUUUGUGAAUUGAUCGCCCCCAAUCUAGUUUCAGAGUUCGUUCUGUUAGGUGACCUAAACUGGGAUAUGCUUAACACCCCGGCAGUCCUACAAUCUAAGCUAGAUGCCCUCAAUCUCACACAAAUCAUCAAGGAACCCACCAGGUACAACCCUAAAUCUGUAAACAUGGACACCCUCAUAGACAUUAUCCUGACCAACUUGCCCUCCAAAUACACCUCCGCUGUUUUCAAUCAGGAUCUCAGUGAUCACUGCCUCAUUGCCUGUAUCCGCUAUGGGUCCGCGGUCAAACGACCACCCCUCAUCACUGUCAAACGCUCCCUAAAACACUUCUGCGAGCAGGCCUUUCCAAUCGACCUGGCCCGGGUACCCUGGAAGGAUAUUGACCUCAUCCCGUCAGUCGAGGAUGCCUGGUCAUUCUUUAAAAGUAAUUUCCUCACCAUCUUAGAUAAGCAUGCCCUGUUCAAAAAAUGCAGAACUAAGAACAGAUAUAGCCCUUGGUUCACUCCAGACCUGACUGCCCUUGACCAGCACAAAAACAUCCUGUGGCGGACUGCCAUAGCAUCGAAUAGUCCCCACCAAUACACGCAGUCAGUCAGCAAAGCAAAGGCUGGGUUUUUCAAGCAGAAAUUCGCAUCCUGUAGCUCUAACUCCAAAAAGUUUUUGGACACUGUAAAGUCCAUGGAGAACAAAAGCAUCUCCCCCGAGCUGCCCACUGCACUGAGGCUAGGCAACAUGGUCACCACUGAUAAAUCCAUGAUAAUCAAAAAUUUCAAUAAGCAUUUCUCAACGGCUGGCCAUGCCUUCCUCCUGGCUACUCCAACCCCGGCCAACAGCUCCGCCUCCCCCGCAGCUACUCGCCCAAGCAUCACCAGCUUCUCCUGCACCCAUAUCCAGACAGGAGAUGUUCUGAAAGAGCUGCAAAACCUGGACCAGUACAAAUCAGCUGGGCUAGACAAUCUGGACCCUCUCUUUCUAAAACUAUCCACAGCCAUUGUUGCAACCCCUAUUACCAGCCUGUUCAACUUCUCUUUCGUAUCGUCCGAGAUCCCUAAAGAUUGGAAAGCUGCCGCGGUCAUCUCCCUCUUCAAAGGGGGUGACACCCUAGACCCAAACUGUUACAGACCUAUAUCCAUCCUGCCCAUCUAA